rnacentral:rRNA from 1 species
AUUGAACGCUGGCGGCAUGCUUUACACAUGCAAGUCGAACGGUAACAGGGUGCUUGCACCGCUGACGAGUGGCGAACGGGUGAGUAAUGCAUCGGAACGUACCCAGUCGUGGGGGAUAACGUAGCGAAAGUUACGCUAAUACCGCAUACGUCCUGAGGGAGAAAGCGGGGGACCGUAAGGCCUCGCGCGAUUGGAGCGGCCGAUGUCGGAUUAGCUAGUUGGUAGGGUAAAGGCCUACCAAGGCGACGAUCCGUAGCGGGUCUGAGAGGAUGAUCCGCCACACUGGGACUGAGACACGGCCCAGACUCCUACGGGAGGCAGCAGUGGGGAAUUUUGGACAAUGGGCGAAAGCCUGAUCCAGCCAUGCCGCGUGAGUGAAGAAGGCCUUCGGGUUGUAAAGCUCUUUCAGACGGAAAGAAAUACGCAGUCUUCUAAUACAAGGUGUGGAUGACGUACCGUAAGAAGAAGACACCGGACUAACUACGUGCCAGCGAGCCGACGGUAAACUACG